CCUACGGGCGGCAGCAGUGGGGAAUAUUGGACAAUGGGGGAAACCCUGAUCCAGCCAUGCCGCGUGUGUGAAGAAGGCCCUCGGGUUGUAAAGCACUUUCAGUGAGGAAGAACGCCUGGUGGUUAAUACCCAUCAGGAAAGACAUCACUCACAGAAGAAGCACCGGCUAACUCCGUGCCAGCAGCCGCGGUAAUACGGAGGGUGCGAGCGUUAAUCGGAAUUACUGGGCGUAAAGCGCGCGUAGGUGGCUUGAUAAGCCGGUUGUGAAAGCCCCGGGCUCAACCUGGGAACGGCAUCCGGAACUGUCAAGCUAGAGUGCAGGAGAGGAAGGUAGAAUUCCCGGUGUAGCGGUGAAAUGCGUAGAGAUCGGGAGGAAUACCAGUGGCGAAGGCGGCCUUCUGGACUGACACUGACACUGAGGUGCGAAAGCGUGGGUAGCAAACAGGAUUAGAUACCCUGGUAGUC
rnacentral:rRNA from 1 species